UCGGGAUGUAGCGCAGCUUGGUAGCGCACCUCGUUCGGGACGAGGGGGUCGCAGGUUCAAAUCCUGUCAUCCCGAU
rnacentral:tRNA from 2 species